rnacentral:rRNA from 1 species
GGUUAAGUUAGAAAGGGCGCACGGUGGAUGCCUUGACACUAGGAGUCGAUGAAGGACGGGACUAACGCCGAUAUGCUUCGGGGAGCUGUAAGUAAGCUUUGAUCCGAAGAUUUCCGAAUGGGGAAACCCACCAUACGUAAUGGUAUGGUAUCCUUAUCUGAAUACAUAGGGUAAGGAAGACAGACCCAGGGAACUGAAACAUCUAAGUACCUGGAGGAAGAGAAAGCAAAUGCGAUUUCCUGAGUAGCGGCGAGCGAAACGGAACAUAGCCCAAACCAAGAGGCUUGCCUCUUGGGGUUGUAGGACAUUCUAUACGGAGUUACAAAGGAACGAGGUAGACGAAGCGACCUGGAAAGGUCCGUCGUAGAGGGUAACAACCCCGUAGUCGAAACUUCGUUCUCUCUUGAAUGUAUCCUGAGUACGGCGGAACACGUGAAAUUCCGUCGGAAUCUGGGAGGACCAUCUCCCAAGGCUAAAUACUCCCUAGUGAUCGAUAGUGAACCAGUACCGUGAGGGAAAGGUGAAAAGCACCCCGGAAGGGGAGUGAAAGAGAUCCUGAAACCGUGUGCCUACAAAUAGUCAGAGCCCGUUAAUGGGUGAUGGCGUGCCUUUUGUAGAAUGAACCGGCGAGUUACGAUCCCGUGCGAGGUUAAGCUGAAGAGGCGGAGCCGCAGCGAAAGCGAGUCUGAAUAGGGCGUUUAGUACGUGGUCGUAGACCCGAAACCAGGUGAUCUACCCAUGUCCAGGGUGAAGUUCAGGUAACACUGAAUGGAGGCCCGAACCCACGCACGUUGAAAAGUGCGGGGAUGAGGUGUGGGUAGCGGAGAAAUUCCAAUCGAACCUGGAGAUAGCUGGUUCUCCCCGAAAUAGCUUUAGGGCUAGCCUUAAGUGUAAGAGUCUUGGAGGUAGAGCACUGAUUGGACUAGGGGUCCUCAUCGGAUUACCGAAUUCAGUCAAACUCCGAAUGCCAAUGACUUAUCCUUAGGAGUCAGACUGCGAGUGAUAAGAUCCGUAGUCAAAAGGGAAACAGCCCAGACCGCCAGCUAAGGUCCCAAAGUGUGUAUUAAGUGGAAAAGGAUGUGGAGUUGCUUAGACAACUAGGAUGUUGGCUUAGAAGCAGCCACCAUUUAAAGAGUGCGUAAUAGCUCACUAGUCGAGUGACUCUGCGCCGAAAAUGUACCGGGGCUAAAUACACCACCGAAGCUGCGGAUUGAUACCAAUGGUAUCAGUGGUAGGGGAGCGUUCUAAGGACAGUGAAGUCAGACCGGAAGGACUGGUGGAGUGCUUAGAAGUGAGAAUGCCGGUAUGAGUAGCGAAAGACGGGUGAGAAUCCCGUCCACCGAAUGCCUAAGGUUUCCUGAGGAAGGCUCGUCCGCUCAGGGUUAGUCAGGACCUAAGCCGAGGCCGACAGGCGUAGGCGAUGGACAACAGGUUGAUAUUCCUGUACCACCUCUUUAUCGUUUGAGCAAUGGAGGGACGCAGAAGGAUAGAAGAAGCGUGCGAUUGGUUGUGCACGUCCAAGCAGUUAGGCUGAUAAGUAGGCAAAUCCGCUUAUCAUAAAGGCUGAGCUGUGAUGGGGAAGCUCCUUAUGGAGCGAAGUCUUUGAUUCCCCGCUGCCAAGAAAAGCUUCUAGCGAGAUAAAAGGUGCCUGUACCGCAAACCGACACAGGUAGGCGAGGAGAGAAUCCUAAGGUGUGCGAGAGAACUCUGGUUAAGGAACUCGGCAAAAUGACCCCGUAACUUCGGGAGAAGGGGUGCUUUCUUAACGGAAAGCCGCAGUGAAUAGGCCCAAGCGACUGUUUAGCAAAAACACAGCUCUCUGCGAAGCCGUAAGGCGAAGUAUAGGGGGUGACACCUGCCCGGUGCUGGAAGGUUAAGGAGAGGGGUUAGCGUAAGCGAAGCUCUGAACUGAAGCCCCAGUAAACGGCGGCCGUAACUAUAACGGUCCUAAGGUAGCGAAAUUCCUUGUCGGGUAAGUUCCGACCCGCACGAAAGGUGUAACGAUUUGGGCACUGUCUCAACCAGAGACUCGGUGAAAUUAUAGUACCUGUGAAGAUGCAGGUUACCCGCGACAGGACGGAAAGACCCCGUGGAGCUUUACUGUAGCCUGAUAUUGAAUUUUGGUACAGUUUGUACAGGAUAGGCGGGAGCCAUUGAAACCGGAGCGCUAGCUUCGGUGGAGGCGCUGGUGGGAUACCGCCCUGACUGUAUUGAAAUUCUAACCUACGGGUCUUAUCGACCCGGGAGACAGUGUCAGGUGGGCAGUUUGACUGGGGCGGUCGCCUCCUAAAGUGUAACGGAGGCGCCCAAAGGUUCCCUCAGAAUGGUUGGAAAUCAUUCGUAGAGUGCAAAGGCAUAAGGGAGCUUGACUGCGAGACCUACAAGUCGAGCAGGGACGAAAGUCGGGCUUAGUGAUCCGGUGGUUCCGCAUGGAAGGGCCAUCGCUCAACGGAUAAAAGCUACCCCGGGGAUAACAGGCUUAUCUCCCCCAAGAGUCCACAUCGACGGGGAGGUUUGGCACCUCGAUGUCGGCUCAUCGCAUCCUGGGGCUGUAGUCGGUCCCAAGGGUUGGGCUGUUCGCCCAUUAAAGCGGUACGCGAGCUGGGUUCAGAACGUCGUGAGACAGUUCGGUCCCUAUCCGUCGUGGGCGUAGGAAAUUUGAGAGGAGCUGUCCUUAGUACGAGAGGACCGGGAUGGACGCACCGCUGGUGUACCAGUUGUUCUGCCAAGGGCAUAGCUGGGUAGCUAUGUGCGGAAGGGAUAAGUGCUGAAAGCAUCUAAGCAUGAAGCCCCCCUCAAGAUGAGAUUUCCCAUAGCGUAAGCUAGUAAGAUCCCUGAAAGAUGAUCAGGUUGAUAGGUUCGAGGUGGAAGCAUGGUGACAUGUGGAGCUGACGAAUACUAAUAGAUCGAGGACUUAACCAU